AGAUUGAACGCUGGCGGCAGGCCUAACACAUGCAAGUCGAGCGGUAACAGGAAUUAGCUCGCUAAUUUGCUGACGAGCGGCGGACGGGUGAGUAAUGCUUGGGAAUAUGCCUUUUGGUGGGGGACAACAGUUGGAAACGACUGCUAAUACCGCAUAAUAUCUACGGAUCAAAGUAGGGGACCUUCGGGCCUUACGCCAAAAGAUUAGCCCAAGUGGGAUUAGCUAGUUGGUGAGGUAAUGGCUCACCAAGGCGACGAUCCCUAGCUGGUUUGAGAGGAUGAUCAGCCACACUGGAACUGAGACACGGUCCAGACUCCUACGGGAGGCAGCAGUGGGGAAUAUUGCACAAUGGGCGCAAGCCUGAUGCAGCCAUGCCGCGUGUGUGAAGAAGGCCCUAGGGUUGUAAAGCACUUUCAGCGAGGAGGAAAGGUUAGUAGUUAAUAACUGCUAGCUGUGACGUUACUCGCAGAAGAAGCACCGGCUAACUUCGUGCCAGCAGCCGCGGUAAUACGAGGGGUGCAAGCGUUAAUCGGAAUUACUGGGCGUAAAGCGUACGCAGGCGGUUUGUUAAGCGAGAUGUGAAAGCCCCGGGCUCAACCUGGGAACUGCAUUUCGAACUGGCAGACUAGAGUAUGAUAGAGGGUGGUAGAAUUUCAGGUGUAGCGGUGAAAUGCGUAGAGAUCUGAAGGAAUACCGAUGGCGAAGGCAGCCACCUGGGUCAAUACUGACGCUCAUGUACGAAAGCG
rnacentral:rRNA from 1 species